CCCCAAUCACCAUUUUAUUCUCUUCCACUCCACACGCACAAUACCAAACAUACAGUGAAGCUUUCUUGCUACCCUCUAAUUUUCCACAAGCCCAAUACCCACAACACCAUCAGAAAACACACGCCCAAGUCAAGAAAAGAAAACGAAGGGAACAACACCGGCAGCGUUGGCGAUACCGGCGGCUAUGGCUAGGUUUCUCCCUUGUCGGUGCGGUGGAUGAGUUCGCCCAGGAGACGAUCCAUGAAGGAGAGAGCAAUCUCUCUUGCGCGUUGAAUGGGGAAAGGGCCUGGUGCCGAAGUUGACGGUGGCUCCGGCGUCACGCGAAGUCAUCGGCGGAAAGAUUGAAGCUAUUGGAGGUUGACCUGGAUAUGGUUUCUUAAGAGGGUUGUGUGAGAGUCCAAUCGGAGAAAAGGGAAGAGGGUAUGAGAAGCGGUUCUGGUAGAUGCUAGUGGAAGCUUUCCUCGUCCAGGGUGGUGGUGCGAUGGCCGGUGCGAAGGAAGCACCGGAUGCUCCGGCAGAAGCUAGGACGGGGUGAGUGUAUGAGUGGCGGAAGUGAGUGCUCCCAGGUUUUUUUCUUUGCUUAAGGAAGGGGGCGUUGGAUCCCUUGGUCGUGCAAAUGGGGAUGAAGAUGGCAAACCCCUAUUGAUUUCUGAGUUGGGGAGCAGAAAGAAAGCCAUGGGCCAGCCUUGGGCUAAACCAAAAAUAUUUUGGGUGUUACUCCCUCCACCUCCCCACUUCCAACCUCUACCCCCACAAUUUUUUUGAUUUUUUUUAAAAAUACGAAAAUAACCUUUCUUUAUUUAUCCUUUCUAUUUUUAUUCAUUUAUUUUUUCUAGGCACCUACACCCCACCCAUCUCUUACGGAUUCCAUUUCUUCUUUUAUUUCCGUUUCAGUUCUUGUUCUCUCCUAUUUUCAAUUCGUGUCUUCUCAUUUUUUUUGUCUUUUUUUUUCUUUAAUUAUAUUAUACCUAAUUAUUUUUUUUCCUUUUUUCCCAAGAAAAUCCCAAACAACAAAAAGGAAACAAAAAGUUUAAUCAUCC
rnacentral:lncRNA from 1 species